GCUUUGGACAGAUCUUGGACCCCUCAAUGUUCCAAUUCCUGUUUAACUCACAACUUCAACCCAUCCAUGAAAAAUAAAAAUGUCUCAUUCUUACUCAGAUCCAUGAUUUGGAGCAUUAGUUCACUGAACUCCUUCAUAUAAUCCUUAAUUAUGCCUUAUUGUGAGAACCGAAGAAACUUAACCCGAGCCUCUUACUCGGCUUAUUGAGGGUAAAACUACUCAUUAAGCUUUUUUCUGGAACUCCUCCCAAGUCUCAAUUUCAG
rnacentral:lncRNA from 1 species